rnacentral:pre_miRNA from 1 species
AUGUAGAGUAAUCUGUAUUUAAAUGGGAAUAAAUUGUGUGAAAAGAAAUGGAUCCUGGAUAGUUUUCCCUUCAUGCCAAGUGUGUUGU